UACAGAGGGGGCUAGCGUUGUUCGGAAUUACUGGGCGUAAAGGGCGCGUAGGUGGCCUGUUAAGUCGAACGUGAAAUCCCCGGGCUCAACCCGGGAACUGCGUCCGAGACUGGCAGGCUCGAAUCCGGGAGAGGGAUGUGGAAUUCCAGGUGUAGCGGUGAAAUGCGUAGAUAUCUGGAGGAACACCGGUGGCGAAGGCGGCAUCCUGGACCAAUACUGACGCUGAGGAGCGAAAGCCAGGGGAGCAAACGGG
rnacentral:rRNA from 1 species